AGAAAAGGAAGAUGCAUUUAUAUCAGAGUCCUUUAUAACACAAGUACUGGAGCUAAAACAUAUACUACACAAAACUGAACAAGUUUAUUCGAAAUAAGAGCAGUACACGAGUGACAACACAUUAAUGAACAAGAUUAUACAAACCACAAGACUAGUACCCACAGAUCAACACAACAGUAAUUAACAACUAAAAGUUACUAGUAGAAAUUAACUAGUACAGGGAGAACAAACACACAGGGGUGAAUACAUUCAUAUGCUAGCAGAAUAUUAAUACACCGAAGCAAUUUCUAAUAGAUCAAUAAUCUCCCAAAUUAACAAUAUAUUUUACCAGUACCAAACUGAACAAAUAACAAGUUGCUUGCACUAGUCAAAUCUGAAUAUUACACAACCCAAAACGUUACACAGUUCUGAACAUUACACUUCUAAAGUUUGCAAUAAGUUGAGAUCACACACACACACACACACACACACACACACACACACACACAGAGAGAGAGAGAGAGAGAGAGAGAGAGAGAGAGAGAGCAACAAGAUUCAGAUUCAGAGAAGUGCAGUAGCAAGAUUCGUGGGUUCAGAGAAGAAGGGUAGCAGGGGAAGUAGAGAGAUAGCAGCAGGGGGUUGGGAGCAGCAGCAGGUUCAGAGAAGGAGGAGCAGCAUGAGGCGUUGAGAGAGAAGCUUCAGCCGAGACCAAGCAGGGUCGUGAGAGGAGAAACAGAGGAGGAGCAGCAGCCAGAUGGGCGGAGGGAGCAGCAGGAAGGCGAUGGGGAAGAAGAGAAGGGCAGUAGGGAAGAGCAGCAGCAGAAGGCAGGUUCGCGCGCAGCACCAGACACCUUGUCUGGUCGGCCGCGCCGUGGAUGCGAUGGCGCUGGAGGUUGGCAGAAUGGAUGGUAUGGCGCUGGUGUGUGGCGCUGGAGAUGGUGGUGGUGGACGGUGCAGCGGCGGGUGAUGGAGAUGGCGAGGAUGGGUGGCUGGGUGGCACUGGUUGGCGCACCGCAGCGCCGGCCUGGCCGCGGCGCCGGCCGGUGGUGUAGAAGGUGGGGUGAGGGGAAUGGAGAUGCCAGGCCUAAAGGGGAUCGAAGGAGAUGGCUAGGGAUUUGACCCCUCUCGAUCAGAUCUGCCACUUUGCAAGUUUGCCCUCCUACUUCCCUUCUUUCUUCCCAAGUUGGUCCUCCCAUCUUGAGCUUGGCCUCUUGAAGCUUUAAUCUGCUAUCAACUCAGGUCCCUCCUUUCUUUUCGGUUUAUAGUGCCUUUGCGCACUUUUCUGCAAAAGAAACAAGUAACCAGUAAAUGAUCCUUUUACAUGUUUUUCCUUCAAAUAUGUAACAGUUCAUACCAAAAAUUGAUGGUCAGAUCACAGUAAAUGCUAAAUUUGUGUGCCAAAUUAUGAAUAGGAAAUGCUCUUAUCAAGUUCCCCCACACUUAAAUCUUUGCUUGUCCUCAAGCAAAGGAAUAUGACAAGAACAGGAUAGUGAAUAGUGAGCUGACUAGAGAAUGUCCAAGUGAAGUAGAUCUCCAAACAAUGCAUGCUUUGGACUUGGCUAGUGAAAAUUAAUGGUUAAGAGUGCUACAUAUCAAUAGGACACUAUUAAACUCGGCCAUUUUAAACUUUUGCAAUGAUAAACGAAGAUUAGCAAGUUCAAAUGCUGACUGUGCCAAAAGGUUCCUAAAGAGAGCAUGAUCCUGAGAACAAAAGGAACUUGAAUUAAAUCACUUAUUUGCAGAAAUAUAACAUUAUGGUUGAACCACUUAUUAAAUUUGAAGGAAGUAAUGAUAAUAUUUUAUCAGUCUCACCAAAGGAACAUACCACCGAUCCCGAGAACAUGGUAUACACCCGGCUCGACCAAUUAUUAGUUUUUUUAGUUUGUUUGUCUCCCCAAAGGAACAUACCACCGAUCCCGAGAACAUGGUAUACACCUGGUUCAACAAUUACAUUUUUUUAUUAUUAAUUACUGCCCAAGCUAACCCGAUUUCACAUGCCACCGAUCCCGGGAACAUGACAUGCUACUGUAGGUAGUCAGACUUAUUUAUUCAUUAUUACUUAUCUUAAAUGAACAACGCUUAAGCACAAAAAUAGGAAUCAUCAGUUCUCCAUGUUUGGUUCACAUGCUACCGAUCCAGGGAACAUAGCAUGCUAAUCCAUAGUGGUUAGGUGAUUGCUCUCAAUGGCAAGACACUUGGCACAAAUUCAGCAUCUAAACGUGGUGAUCUAGGUGUAUCGAGGUAAAAGCAGAAAAUGAUUAAGUUUUCUAGUGUACUAGGGAUUUGAGCACUCAAAACUAAUAACUUUCACUAAUUUCAGCAAAGCAAGCAAUAUGUAGAUCACUAGUUUACAUGGCAUUCAACAAUCAGUUUGCAUAUUCUCAUCAAGCACCAUCUGUCAAAUAAAAUUCAGUGGGGCAACAUUUAAGACAUGGCUUAAGCAACCCAAAUAACAUUUGAUUUCAGCAUGUAUCAAUGGAUGAUAUACUCGGAAUGGGUCAUGAAACACCUCACCGGGUUUUAUAGGAAGUAGCACUCGCUCGACACUCUCCAAACUGCAACUCUUCUCCUUUGCUUCCUCGUGCAUUGUGACUCCUCUCCUUUUGCUUCCCUGUCCUCAUGCCUGCUCCAGCUUCUCUCUUCAUGUGUGCUCCUUGCUUCUCCUCAUCCCCAUGCCAUGGGUCCACCGGGGUCCCAGGGAAUGUCAUCUCGAACUUGGUCAGCAUGUAGUGAUUCGUGCACAAGCAAGAACCUGAAAGAGCACUCAACGAAAGAGACAAUGCAAGUGGUAGGGAUAAUACCCUCCAAGUCAUCAAUCGAAUAUCCAAUUACAUAGGCACAGCUAUAAAGCACAUGUUUAGGAUGGUAGAAAUCAGCAAGGUCGACACUAACAUGAGGAUGAAAUUUAUCAUUAAGCUCAAGACUAGCAUGGGAAUAAUAUGUUUCAUUAAGCAUAGGACUAGCAUAAGGAAAAUAAGUGUCAUCAUCAGGAAUGAGAGCAAUGCCACCAACAAUGUAUGUAUGAUCAUGUCCAAGCAAAUAUUUUUUCAAAUCUACCUUAAGUGAUGGCAUCAUGCAAUGCAAGGUUGUAGCAAACAAAUCAUAUGAAGACAUGUCAUUAAGAGGAUUAGAUAAACCUGCUACAUCACGCUCUUGUGUGACAAUAGGCAAAUGAAUUUCUGGUUCUUCAAGUUCAUCUACAGCAGCUUCUUUUGCUUCUUCAAGAGUAGUAGAUGAUGAGUCUUCAACUUGAUUACUUGGUUGUUCGAACUCUGGAUCAUCUUGUGCCUUGGCUUCGAGUACAUCUUCAAUCUGAGGUCUCUCUUCCUCUGGAUCUUCUAUGGUGCUACUACCAGCAACACUUAAUUGAGUCUGAAGUGUCCCCAUGUGUGAAUAUUCACUAACAUGAUCUGGUAGGGGUGGUGAGAUCACUACCUCGCUGUCUUUCUGAGAAAUGUUCUCCUCAUCACCAUCAUUGCUAAGUUUCAACAGUGACACCGAUGACUUCCACCAGUCAUGCAGCUCAGCAACACAUGGGAUCUUCUCAGGAUAUUGAAGUAUCAGCUCUUCUAAAUUUAACUCAACCUCUUGUAUCUCUCUCCUUGGAAUGUCUCCGACUUGUUUAAUUGUAUGUGCAGGAGUUGGAAUCUCAUCUUCACUAUUCUUCUCUGAGAUACUCUUUUUAACUGUGAUAGAGGUAACCACUGGUGGAGCUAAUGAUUUCUUCUUAACAAAUAGUCCAGAUACAGUUGUAACACAAGUGUGGGCAAUUGGUGACACGACUAAAUUCCACCAGUGAGAUAGCUGACUAACACAAGUGAAUUUCUCCAUAUCUUGCGAUCUCAACUUAGCGUCAAUCAGAGUAGGUUCCUCAUAAACCUCUUAUUGCAACUUUGACUCAUUCUGAACACUUUCAUUGCCAUGAGGUAUUGGAUCUGCUACUGUGGUAUCCAUCUGAUCUACAGUGGUUGCAUCAUCUUGGAAAAUAUCAUAAUCAUCAUCAAGGAUAAUUGAAAUAAGAUCAAUGUUUCUAUAUGGAGGCUGUAAUUCAGUUCUGAAAUGUUGUUGUCCCUGGAAUGAAACAUGCUGGUUUUGAAUAUUAGGCACCAUGGAUGAUUCCUGUUCACUUAUGGAACACACAGCUUCUGAUUGCACACAGCUUGCAACCUUUGGAUUUGAACUAGGCCUUUCAUAACCCCAUUGCAUUUGGUGGAAGGAAAUGCUCUCAAUGAGAAUAAUUGCACCCUCAACGGUCUUGUUCAUGAUUGUUCCACUAGCUGACAUAUCAAUAAGAUCUCUUGAAGCAUGUGUCAGCCCUCUAUAGAAUAUCUGAAGCACUAACCAAUACUUUUGCCCGUGAUUAGGACAUUUUCUAAGCAAAUACUUAUAUCUCUCCCAAGCUGCAUACAAGCUCUCACUUCCAUCUUGCACAAAACUGAGUAUCUGGUCACGAAUUGCAGCUUGCUUGUAAAGUGGAAAAUAUCUAUGCAGGAAAGCUUGCGAAAUAUCACCCCAAGUGUAUGAUCUUGAUUGCAAAGAAUAGUACCAGUCCUUAGCAGCAUCUCUGAGAGAGAAUGUGAACAACAUACACUUGAUAGCAUCUUGGGAAACGCCAUGGUACUGGACUGUAUUGGCAUACUCCAGAACAUUACUAAUGUGCUCAUGAGGGUCUUCAUUGGGUAAUCCUCUAAACUGAUUCUGCAAUACAAGAGCAAUAAGUCCAGGCCUCAACUCACAAUUUUCGGCCUCAAUAGAUGGCCAAAUUGGCCCUGUCAUCGUGUCCAAACUACUUGGCAACCAAAGAUCAUGUACUAAAGCCAUAUGUUCAAGUGCAACUGUCAAUGAGCCUACAAAUAGUAAGAUAUCCUACACACGCUCACAAACAUCAAAGACUGGUGAGAGGGUUAGUACCCUAAUAAGCCGAAGCAACAAAAAGUAAAAAGGUAAAAGAAACACAGAAAUAAAUUUGACUGGAAAUUUAAACAAAAACUAUACUAAGCCUAAUCUAUAGCUUCACACAAUCACUCGAUGCUAGUCCGCGGCAAUGGCGCCAAAAUGAUCAAUUGUAAGUACAGUGGGAUUUUACGCCCAAACUGCGAGUGUCGUGUUCUCCACAGGGACUAGGCGACGGCGACUAUGCUCGGCCAAAUCUAGGUCACACGAUAUUGAGUGAUGAAAAUAGAAAAUAAUACUAACACCAACAAGGAUCAUCAACAAAGGGAAUGACACAGAGGCAAAGGGAGAUGAAGAUUAUCUUCUAUUUCUCUUUUUGGUAUUUUCAUAUCAUUUUAGAAACUAAAUACGGACACAGGACAUCAGCAUCGACAGAAAGAAAGUAACAAGAGAUGAUCACAAAUAUAUCUAGCAGACAUAUAUAAGAAAAGGAAGAUGCAUUUAUAUCAGAGUCCUUUAUAACACAAGUACUGGAGCUAAAACAUAUACUACACAAAACUGAACAAGUUUAUUCGAAAUAAGAGCAGUACACGAGUGACAACACAUUAAUGAACGAGAUUAUACAAACCACAAGACUAGUACCCACAAAUCAACACAACAGUAAUUAACAACUAAAAGUUACUAGUAGAAAUUAACUAGUACAGGGAGAACAAACACACAGGGGUGAAUGCAUUCAUAUGCUAGCAGAAUAUUAAUACACCGAAGCAAUUUCUAAUAGAUCAAUAAUCUCCCAAAUUAACAAUAUAUUUUACCAGUACCAAACUGAACAAAUAACAAGUUGCUUGCACUAGUCAAAUCUGAAUAUUACACAACCCAAAACGUUACACAGUUCUGAACAUUACACUUCUAAAGUUUGCAAUANNNNNNNNNNNNNNNNNNNNNNNNNNNNNNNNNNNNNNNNNNNNNNNNNNNNNNNNNNNNNNNNNNNNNNNNNNNNNNNNNNNNNNNNNNNNNNNNNNNNNNNNNNNNNNNNNNNNNNNNNNNNNNNNNNNNNNNNNNNNNNNNNNNNNNNNNNNNNNNNNNNNNNNNNNNNNNNNNNNNNNNNNNNNNNNNNNNNNNNNNNNNNNNNNNNNNNNNNNNNNNNNNNNNNNNNNNNNNNNNNNNNNNNNNNNNNNNNNNNNNNNNNNNNNNNNNNNNNNNNNNNNNNNNNNNNNNNNNNNNNNNNNNNNNNNNNNNNNNUCGUUGGUUUAGAGAAGAAGGGUAGCAGGGGAAGUAGAGAGAUAGCAGCAGGGGGUUGGGAGCAGCAGCAGGUUCAGAGAAGGAGGAGCAGCAGGAGGCGUUGAGAGAGAAGCUUCAGCCGAGGCCAAGCAGGGUCGUGAGAGGAGAAACAGAGGAGCAGCAGCAGUGAGAUGGGCGGAGGGAGCAGCAGGAAGGCGAUGGGGAAGAAGAGAAGGGCAGUAGGGAAGAGCAGCAGCAGAAGGCAGGUUCGCGCGCGGCACCAAACACCUUGUCUGGUCGGCCACGCCGUGGAUGCGAUGGCGCUAGAGGUUGGCAGAAUGGAUGGUACGGCGCUGGUGUGUGGCGCUGGAGAUGGUGGUGGUGGACGGUGCAGCGGCGGGUGAUGGAGAUGGCGAGGAUGGGUGGCUAGGUGGCGCUGGUUGGCGCACCGUGGCGCCGGCCUGGCCGCGGCGGCGGCCGGUGGUGGAGAAGGUGGGGUGAGGGGAAUGGAGAUGCCAGGCCUAAAGGGGAUCGAAGGAGAUGGCUAGGGAUUUGACCCCUCUCGAUCAGAUCUGCCACUUUGCA
rnacentral:lncRNA from 1 species